GUACAGGAAUAGCUCGGUUGGCAGAGCAUGAUGCUCUUAAUCUCAGGGUUGCGGGUUCGAGUUCCGCGUUGGACA